GACGAACGCUGGCGGCGUGCUUAACACAUGCAAGUCGAGCGAGGCCCCUCCUUCGGGAGGGUGUCCUAGCGGCGAACGGGUGAGUAACACGUGGGCAACCUGCCCUCAGCUCUGGGAUAACUCCGGGAAACCGGGGCUAUUACCGGAUACGACCUCCACGGUCAUCUGCGGAGGUGGAAAGUUUUUCGGCUGGGGAUGGGCCCGCGGCCUAUCAGCUAGUUGGUGGGGUAGUGGCCCACCAAGGCGACGACGGGUAGCCGGCCUGAGAGGGCGACCGGCCACACGGGGACUGAGACACGGCCCAGACUCCUACGGGAGACAGCAGGGGGGAAUAUUGCGCAAUGGGCGCGAGCCUGACGCAGCGACGCCGCGUGAGGGAAGAAGGCCUUCGGGUUAUAAACCUCUGUCAGCAGGGACGAAGCGAAAGUGACGGUACCUGCAGAAGAAGCACCGGCCAACUACGUG
rnacentral:rRNA from 1 species